rnacentral:rRNA from 1 species
GACGAACGCUGGCGGCGUGCUUAACACAUGCAAGUCGAACGGUGAAGCGCCUUCCUUUUUGGUGGGUGUGGAUGAGUGGCGAACGGGUGAGUAACACGUGAGUAACCUGCCCCCUUCUUCUGGAUAACCGCAUGAAAGUGUGGCUAAUACGGGAUAUUCUGGGUCUCUCGCAUGAUGGGUCUGGGAAAGAUAUUGUUUCGGUGGGGGAUGGGCUCGCGGCCUAUCAGCUUGUUGGUGGGGUGAUGGCCUACCAAGGCGGUGACGGGUAGCCGGCCUGAGAGGGUGGACGGUCACACUGGGACUGAGACACGGCCCAGACUCCUACGGGAGGCAGCAGUGGGGAAUAUUGCACAAUGGGCGCAAGCCUGAUGCAGCGACGCCGCGUGAGGGAUGGAGGCCUUCGGGUUGUGAACCUCUUUCGCCAGUGAAGCAGGCCUGCCUCGUUUGUGGGUGGGUUGACGGUAGCUGGAGAAGAAGCGCCGGCUAACUACGUG